rnacentral:rRNA from 1 species
UUUCCGUAGGUGAACCUGCGGAAGGAUCAUUCAUGUGAGGUUGGCGGGGGUAGAUACUACCAGCUGGGAAUGAAUUCCCCCUGUCUUCUGUCGUUUCGUGCACUUUUUAAAUCUUUAUUUUUCUAUUUUUUAUUUUUUCAACAACAAAACAUUUUACAAAAAAACUAUACAACUCGUGGCGGUGGAUGUCUCGGCUCUGAUAUCGAUGAAGAACGCAGCGAAAUGCGAUACGUAAUGCGAAUUGCARAACCCGUGAAUCAUCGAAUUUUUGAACGCAAGUGGCGCUCGUGGGCAAUCCUGCGAGCAUGUCUGUUUGAGUGUCCGAUAUGUAAAACGAUUGGUUCCCUUUGAACGGCUGGCAACAGUGUGUUUGGGGAGCCGCUGGUGGGCGCACGCAAGUGUUCAAGUCCGUGGGCGGUUGGUGAAAACCGGCAGCCUGCGGUCGCCUGAAGUACAGAUGGUUGAGUGGGAGUCUGAAAUCUGAGAAAGUGCAAAGUUGGGCCUUCCCGCAAGGGGGGGCUGCCGGGACCGUGCAACCGUUGUGAAGUAAUAUUUCGGUAUUAUGGGAAGCGGGGGUGAAUCGGACUUGGUACUGGCAACAGGCGGCGGGGUGCGGACUCGAGGCAGGGCGGCCUACUUGGUCUUGAAAAGAACACAUACACACACAUAGGAUCUCAAAUCAGACAAGACGACCCGCUGAAUUUAAG